rnacentral:rRNA from 1 species
GACGAACGCUGGCGGCGUGCCUAAUACAUGCAAGUCGAACGAACCGCGACUGAGUGCUUGCACUUGGUCAAGGUGAGUGGCGAACGGGUGAGUAACACGUGGGUAACCUACCUCAUAGUGGGGGAUAACAGUCGGAAACGACUGCUAAUACCGCAUAGGACAUGGAAUCACAUGAUUCCGUGAGGAAAGGUGGCGCAAGCUAUCGCUAAGAGAUGGACCCGCGGUGCAUUAGCUAGUUGGUAGGGUAACGGCCUACCAAGGCGAUGAUGCAUAGCCGACCUGAGAGGGUGAUCGGCCACAUUGGGACUGAGACACGGCCCAAACUCCUACGGGAGGCAGCAGUAGGGAAUCUUCCGCAAUGGACGCAAGUCUGACGGAGCAACGCCGCGUGAGUGAAGAAGGUCUUCGGAUCGUAAAGCUCUGUUGUUAGAGAAGAACAGCGCAUAGAGUAACUGUUAUGCGUGUGACGGUAUCUAACCAGAAAGCCACGGCUAACUACGUGCCAGCAGCCGCGGUAAUACGUAGGUGGCGAGCGUUGUCCGGAUUUAUUGGGCGUAAAGGGAGUGUAGGCGGUCUUUUAAGUCUGAUGUGAAAGCCCACGGCUCAACCGUGGAGGGUCAUUGGAAACUGGGAGACUUGAGUGCAGAAGAGGAGAGCGGAAUUCCAUGUGUAGCGGUGAAAUGCGUAGAUAUAUGGAGGAACACCAGUGGCGAAGGCGGCUCUCUGGUCUGUAACUGACGCUGAGGCUCGAAAGCGUGGGGAGCAAACAGG